rnacentral:misc_RNA from 1 species
GAAUGAAGAACGCAGCGAAAUGCGAUAAGUAGUGUGAAUUGCAGAAUUCAGUGAAUCAUCGAAUCUUUGAACGCACAUUGCGCCCCUUGGUAUCCCGAGGGGCAUGCCUGUUCGAGCGUCAUUUCACCACUCAAGCCUGGCUUGGUGUUGGGCGACGUCCCCUUUGGGGACGCGCCUCGAAACGCUCGGCGGCGUGGCACCGGCUUUAAGCGUAGCAGAAUCUUUCGCUUUGGAAGUCGGGGCCCCGUCUGCCGGAAGACCUACUCGCAAGGUUGACCUCGGAUCAGGCAGGGAUACCCGCUGAACUUAAGCAUAUCAAUAAGCGGAGGA